ACUUAUUUGCUGUGCUUCUCUGAGUGCCUUGUGGCCUCUUUAUCACCACCUGUUGAAGGAAAUGUUAGAUCCAGAUAUGGAUGGAAGGUAUUAUGUGACACGGGAACUUUCAGAAAAUGAAGACCCAAAGGAACAGGAGAUCUGUGGAUUUUCAUGGACAGUCAUCUGUGGAUUUUCAAGGACAGUCAUGCAGAAGCAUACUUGGAGAACGGGGAUUAUCUUGAGGCUCUAGAGGCUAAGUCCAUGUUUGAGUGAAAGCUAUAAAAGAGCUAAUGAGCACAGAAUCUAGAAAAAAAAAUAGAUGUAACCAGACAUAAAGGAAAUUCAAAUGAAUUCGAGGUUGAAAUUGGUCUAAGGAACAAUAUUUAGCUUUGAAGGUGAAUUUCAGCAUUGCUUUCCCUUUUGCUGAAUUUGCAGUUUCCCAUAUGGCAUCCAGGCAUACACACAGCUGCAUCAUGUCACUGCAAGUGGCUCCCAGAGUUGUUCCUGUUCAUCCAGGAAGAAAGAAAAUCCCACCAAAGAUUGAGAGAGAUCAAUGAGUGUAUUUCCAAAGAACCUGAAAGAAGAUGUUUCCAUUUGGCCCUCUUACCCUCUAUCCAAGCUCAGAGGGAAAUGCACUCAGGAACUUUAACGGCCAGCACAAAUUCCAUUCCAAGCCAUGGAGCGGGAAGGGUACAUGACACCAAGUGUCCCACCAGACGGCCAUCUUGCUAACUAAUACACCUCGGGAUUACAUUUGCGUUUACACAAAAUGUGAGCUUUGGGAGCCAGACGUAUUAUUUUGGUUAAUAGUUUGGCAUGUUCUCAGCUUGGAAGCCUGAGCGUAUGUGAUGGGUCAGUAACACAAUAAAAGUAAGGGGGAAGCAUUUCUUUCCCCAGUGGUGAAUUUCUACCCUAUUCAGGAAACAGACUUUCCAAAUCAGCCAUUACAGCUGUCUGGAUCGUUCAUACCAUUUGCCAUUAAAUAUACCCAAGAAGGAAAAACAGUGUCUUUGUAUUUGCUGUUAAAUGUAAUCAGAGACAAUCUUUACGAUCAUUCGGGAUCAUUAUUAUCAGCGUAAUUACAGCUUUAGAGAACAAUAAUCAUACAUAUGUGUGGUAUAGAUAUGCGGGGAGUCCAAUGCAGAAAUGCAGAAGAGACAAAAGUGCCUGUUAAUAUUUUACAAAAGUUGUAAUUUUAUUGAAAAUUAACUAAUUUACAUAAAGGAACAACUUCAUAUAGGAUUUUUUAGCUCAAUGUGUUCAACAAAGUAGAAAAAAUUACAGGGGGAAAAAAAAACCUUACCCAGUACAUUGAUGCCUGACAUGAUGCGAUUAGAAGUAAUCUAUAUUUUGCAAGUUUAAGAAUUAUCUCUAGUUAAGAUGUAAUAUCUUUGUAUGAGAAUGUGCAGUGACUCCUAGAGUCAAUAACUGUGUAAGUAUCUGUGUGUGUCCAUUUAUUUUGUAAAAGAGAGAUGAUAUGUUAAAACAUGUCCUCUUUCUUUUUUCUUCCUCACUUGCUUGCAUAUGACAUUUCCCCUCUUCAACCAGAGGAUUCCAUCUGCCUCAGGGAGAAUUAGAAUUACUGCAGAAAUGCAAAGAGAAAGAAAGUUUUUGACUGCCAGCAUAGGAUUUUGAAACCCAUAGAAACAACAGUCUUGAAAGCCUAUAAAUUUGAGAGAGAAAAGGGAUUUCUAAAGCCUCAAAAAUUUCCUUUACAUCUAACAAGCAAAACUAGCAGGACUGAUCAUAAAUUCACACUAAGCCAUUGCCAGGAAGAAUUUAGAAUGUGCCAUAAAGUUUCAACCACAGAAAUAAAACUGAAAAAGGCAACAAGAAAAGCAAAUAUAAAUAAAAAAUAACCAGACCAAAAUAAACAAACAAACAAACAAAAAAACCAAAACUACAAAAAAAUAAGUUCCAACCAGAAAGAAAAGGUUGCACUCAACAGGUUGUUUUGCAAUUAUAAGUUUGUGACUGUCACACACGUCUGUGUGAAGAGACCACCAAACAGGCUUUGUGUGAGCAACAGGGCUGUUUAUUUCACCUGGGUGCAGGCGGGCUGAGUCCGAAAAGAGUCAGUGAAGGGAGAUAGGGAUGGGGCACUUUUAUAGGAUCUGGGUGAGUAGUGGAAAAUUACAGUCAAAGGGGAUUGUUCUCUUGCGGGCAGGGGCGGGGGUCACAAGGUGCUCAGUGGGGGAGGUUCUGAGCCAGGAGAAGGAAUAUCACAAGGUUAAUCACUCAGUUAAGGUGGAGCAGGAACAAAUCACAAUGGUGAAAUGUCAUCAGUUAAGGCAAGAACCAGCCUUUUUCACUUCUUUUGUGAUUCUUCAUAUGCUUCAGGCCAUCUGGAUGCAUACGUGCAGGUCACAAGGGAUAUGAUGGCUUAGCUUGGGCUCAGCGGCCUGACAGUGACAAGGGAGUUGUGAGAAUGAAUGGGAUAAUAUGCCUGAAGCACUUAGCACAAUUAUUGUCGCUGAAAAGAGUCAAGCUGUAAAAUAUUUGAAAAGAUUUAUUCUGAGCCAAAUAUGAGUGACCGUGGCCUGUGGCACAUCCAUCAGGAGAUCCUGAGAACAAGUGCCCACGGUGGUCAGGAAGUCAUGAGACAUCAAUCAGAUACAUUAAGAAAUACAUUGGCUUGGUCCAGAACAGCGGGACAACUCGGGGGGCAGGGCAGGCUUCCAGGCCAUAGGUCAAUUUCACGUUCAGGUUUAGAUUCUGGAGACCAAGGUUCUUUUGAAGUCUCGUAGUGGCUGCCCUUAGAGACAACAGAAGACAAACGUUUCCUAUUCAGACCUUUAAAAGGUGCUAGACUCUCAGUUAACCUCUUCAGGAUUGGGAGGGCCUGGAAGAAAAAGAUCUAGCUAUGUUAAUAGAGUUUCUCUACAGAUGCAAAUUAUCCGCCACAAAGGACAGCUUUGCAGGGCCAUUUCAAAAUACAGGAAAGAAACAUGUUUUGGGGUAAAAUAUUUUUAUUUUCUUGUUUGUCACGUAAUGUUAUGCAAGAGUCAGAUUGGAAAGUAAGUCACGAUAUAUAGGCUUAAAUAAAACCCAUCUGAUGAGAAUUUAUGGUUUGUAGGGCAUGCCUCUCCAGACCCCUUAGAUAGGAAUUUGGCUAAGAUAAGAAAAAAAUCAGAGCUUAGUCCUCAAUUCCCAGCAUUUGAUAAAUACUCUCAUGUUUAUAAAAAACGUUAUUACAGUUAACACAUUACCUGGCAAAUAUUACCUCUCUACUUGUCUGCUCCCAUCCCACUAGACUAAAAUGGAUUGAGGGCAGGGAUUCCGUUUUAUUCAUUCCUUCAUCCUUAGCUCCUAUCACAGAGCUUGGUACUUGAUAAAUUUUUGUGGAGCGAAUGAACCUCACUGGUUCUCUGAGACAAAGAAAGCAUGCAGUAAGAAGGUCGAGUGGUCCCUGCUCUUUGUUGUUCAUUUACAAGACACCAUCAUCUCAAGCACCAGUUUGUGGUUGGUUUUGUAAAAAAAAAAAUAAAAACCUAACCAAUCUGAGUUUUAGAUUGGGUAAGGAUGAGAUUUUUUUAACCUUCUGAUGAUAAAAUAAUCAGAUGGGCUACCCCAAAAUGUGGAGGACUCUUUAUGCUGAAUGAGCUUUUUGAGAUGUCAACAAUAUCUGUCCUGGAUGAUUUAGACAUUCCCUUGCCUGCAGAGAGAGAGCUGGGCCGGAUCAUCUCUGAAAGUGCCUUCAGCUCUCUAUUAUCACUACAUGAUUCUAUUAACCAGUUAAUAUUUUUCCUGUAAUUUGCCCUUAGCAACUGCCUAACAACAUUUCAGGUCCUUCCAUAGGAUGCAAUGAUGUGACAUUAAUCUAAUAUCACGUCCCCUCUCUGCCUGUUUCACCAACACCUCUCAUUCCUUGACCCUGAAUAAUGAUUCAAGGACAUCUUCUUUCCUUUUCUUCAACUAAACUAAGACCAUCCUUAGGGCUUUAAACCAGUACCCAUCAUAGGCUCAGUGCUUACUAAAAAUCUACCUGGAGGUUCAGAUACUUCAUUCACCAGGCCUUAAGUUCUUCUGUUGGAUACAGUGAGUUCUAGAUUUCUCUUCAAAGAAUCAGUAUGUCAGUAUGUUCAGUUUUUUGUCCCCCAUUUUAAAGUUUAGGCCGGGCACCGUGGCUCACGCCUGUAAUCCCAGCACUUUGGGAGGCCGAGGCGGGCGGAUCACGAGGUCGGGAGAUCGAGACCAUCCUGGCUAACACGGUGAAACCCCGUCUCUACUAAAAAUACAAAAAAUUACCUGGGCGUGGUGGCAGGUGCCUGUAGUCCCAGCUACUUGGGAGGCUGAGGCAGGAGAAUGGCGUGAACCCAGGAGGCAGAGCUUGCAGUGAGCCGAGAUAGUGCCACUGAAGUCAGGCCUGGGCGAAAGAGUAAGACUCCGUCUCAAAAAA